rnacentral:misc_RNA from 1 species
UCACCCCUCAAGCCCCGUGCUUGGUGUUGGACGGCCUGGUCGAGGUGCCCUCGACCCCUCCUAAAGACAAUGACGGCGGCCUGUGGUUCCCCCGGUACACUGAGCUUUUAACUGAGCACGUAUCGGAAAAGGGCGCCCGGGACCCGGUCCUCUCCUUUCACAAGGAAACUUUUUCAA